GACUCUGUGGCCAAAUGGAUACGGCAUCGGUUUCCGGUUCCCAAUAUGAUAAAUUUAAAAUUCAACAAAUAUAGAAUCUGGAAAUAGCCGGGGAUUGUGGGUUCAAGUCCCACCAGGGUCG
rnacentral:tRNA from 1 species